AUGCGCCAGCUUCAUAGUGCCUAUGAUCUCCUGUGGCUAUUCAUUGGUGACCUAAAUGAGAUUAGUACGUUACAAGAGAAGGAUGGCGGGAACCCUCGCCCAGUCCAGUAUAUGAACGCUUUUCAGGAAGCAAUAAAGAACUGUGAGUUGCGAGACUUGGGAUACAUUGGAGACCCAUUCACAUGGCGUCGAGGCAGAAUUCAUGCGCGGCUGGAUAGAGGGCUGGUAAAUGAUGCUUGGGCAUCGAUCUUCCCCCAUACUGCACUGAUAAAUACGGAAUUCAAUCACUCAGACCAUCGGCCUCUUCUUGUUGAUACAGAUUACUAUUUCCAAGCGAAUGGUGCGACUAAUGGUCAGACUAGGAGAUUCGAAGCAAGAUGGCUACGAGAGAGUACAUUUGAUGCCACCGUAACAGAAGCAUGGGCGAAGGUAGAAGCUGACCUGAAUGCUACGAAUAUUUAUGAGAAACUUAACCUGAUGCAUGCACAGUUUCAUGAUUGGGAUCAGCGGGUUCUCAAAAAACCUAGAAAGAGACUCCGGAAAGCCCAACGGGAUCUCGAAGAAGUCAUGGCUGGACCAAUGUCUGAUGACAAUGAAAUAAAGAGGAAAGAAUUGGCAGAACUGAUUGAAUAUGUGCUUGAAUUGGAAGAAAUACAAGUUAUGCAAAGGUCCGGAGCUAAUUGGUUGAAAGGGGGCGAUCGCAAUACAGGCUUCUUUCAAGCUUUUGCUUCUGCUAGAAGAAAGAAAAACUUUGUAAAAAAAACUAAAAGAUGCGGGUGGAAAUUGGUUGGAAGGUAUGCCAGAACUGAACUCUCAUGUCCUAGAUUAUUUUUCUCACUUGUUUACAUUAGAGGUGCAGCAUACGGAUCCUAG
rnacentral:rRNA from 1 species